AAAGUGGAGCAAUCCAUGAGUACAGUGGCGUACGGGUGAGUAACACGUGGGUAAUCUACCUCUUAGUGGGGAAUAACCAGGGGAAACUCUGGCUAAUACCGCAUAAGCCUGAGAAGGGAAAGCAGCAAUGCGCUGAGAGAGGAGCCCGCGGCCGAUUAGCUAGUUGGUGGGGUAAGAGCCCACCAAGGCAGAGAUCGGUAGCCGGCCUGAGAGGGCACACGGCCACACUGGCACUGAAACACGGGCCAGACUCCUACGGGAGGCAGCAGUGGGGAAUCUUGCACAAUGGGGGAAACCCUGAUGCAGCGACGCCGCGUGAGCGAUGAAGCCCUUCGGGGUGUAAAGCUCUUUCGUCAGGGACGAUAAUGACGGUACCUGGAGAAGCAGCUGCGGCUAACUACGUGCCAGCAGCCGCGGUAAUACGUAGGCAGCAAGCGUUGUUCGGAGUUACUGGGCGUAAAGGGUGUGUAGGCGGUUCUUUAAGUUUGGUGUGAAAUCUCCCGGCUCAACUGGGAGGGUGCGCCGAAUACUGAGGGACUAGAGUACGGGAGAGGAAAGUGGAAUUCCUGGUGUAGCGGUGAAAUGCGUAGAUAUCAGGAGGAACACCGGUGGUGUAGACGGCUUUCUGGACCGUAACUGACGCUGAGACACGAAAGCGUGGGUAGCAAACAGGAUUAGAUACCCUGGUAGUCCACGCCCUAAACGAUGCAUAUUUGGUGUGGGCAGUUCAUUCUGUCCGUGCCGGAGCUAACGCGUUAAAUAUGCCGCCUGGGGAGUACAGUCGCAAGGCUGAAACUC
rnacentral:rRNA from 1 species